UACGGUAGAAAGGAAAAGUAUAGCUUGGAUAGUGAUAGUUGGAAAUAUUUAAAGGCGAUAAUGUGUGAGAUUGCGACAGGGAGAACGAAACAGUUUAAGUUGUGAGAAUACAAACCUCACGGCGACCUGAAAUUUGCAAUUCGGCAGUUAGGGUAUCUCAUCCUAACUUGACCUAAAAUACAACAAUAAAGUGGUAGAUACGACAAUCAGAAAGCGUGGAAAAUAGGGAGAAACUACUUCUUAUCGAACACCAACAACAUAAUAUCAUGGUAAUCACCCAGCAAGAGAACGCAGUGAUAAUGGGCCAACAGAAAACACAACAUCAAUAUGCUCGGAAAGGACUUUCUCUUUCGAACAAACAUAAUGGCAGGUCAUGUUCAAUCUGCUAACCGUUUGGAAUAAGCGCCCAUCAUCGGUUUCAUGGCAGGGAAGAGCAGGCAAAAGAAGGCAUCAUUUUUUCCGCAAGGUCGCUCUGGUCAAAAUUUCAGCGAAUUGCAAGGAAUAAACCACCCGAGGGACAGUACCCGUGCUGAUUCAGGACGAUUUCCCAUACUUUGUACCUUGCUAUUGAAUUUUAAUACCUGAUCGAAACGAUGGCAAGCGCUGCCGAUAACUGAGUCAAAAAGACGACGGAUCAAGAAAUUUCUGCACUUGGUGCUUUUUUGUUAUAACCUAUUUUUGAAGCGAUCAUUGGGAUGGGAUUUGAAUUUUUCUUUUUAAUACAAAUAGGUUAGCGAACUGAGUACAUAUCACCAAGGAUAAGGAUUCAGAGCCGGCGGCUGGCAGUCCAGAGAAAGAGAAUGCGGAAAAACGUAGUCCACCGGCAGUAGAACCAAAGCUGCACCUGAUGUUUGGAGUUCGGUAGCUACUGACUCUAGCAGCUCCUGAAGAAAAACAAGCUGCAAGAGAAAAUGGAGAAACAGCUUCCUCCGCGGAAGAUGCAGAGGCAUUCAACCCGGCGGAUGCAAGUUUGCUAAUGAAAGAUGUUCGCUAAGGUCUAGUAGAAUCAAAGCUGGAUCUGGAGGUGCAGCGGAAGUAUUCUUCUUCGCCGAUUGGUUGGUUAAAACUUUCGAAGCAUUGCACAUGAAACUGGAAUUACUACAGAGAGUAUACGAUGGGUUUCAACGCCCCUUCCAAGAUUCAGGAGAUGGCUCUACCUACUCUGUUGGCCGGUCCGCCACGGAAUAUAAUCGCCCAGAGUCAGUCGGGAAUAGAAAAAACCGCUGCCUUCGUGCUGGCAAUGCUCAGUUGAGUCCACCAGUUAAAAAACUAUCUGCAGGUGAUUUGCCUUUCCCCACGUAUGAGCUGGCAAUGCAGAAGGGGGAAGUAGCUGCCAAAAUGGCAAAGUUUUGUCCGGAAAUCAAACUUCCUUACGCCGUUCGCGGUGAGGAGACCGUCAAAGGGGCGAAGCUGACUAAUCAUAUCAUCGGAACACCCGGCAAGCUAAUGGACUGGGGUAUAAAGUUCAGGACGUACGACUUAGUUUUCCCUUUUUGUACUGGACGAGGCGGGUGUUAUGGUCGGUGUUCUUCUUGGCCACGUACGAGCACGAGGUGGUGGAGUUUGCCGAGUACAUCGUACCCAAUCCGAUUCGGCAGGCGCGGGAGCAAGAAUCACUCGAUAACAUCAAACAGUACUACGUCAAGUUCCACAACCAGGACGAGAAAAAGUAUUUGGAUAAAAAGUACAAAACUAUCCGGAUUAUAAUGAGAAUGAUUUUAGAAACUACUAUUUAGAAGAAUGGGAUAAAAUUUAAGUUGAAUGCACACAAAAACUAGUGGUUAUCAUUCCAAUACGAUUGAAAACUGUAAUUACAAACAAAAGGUACCACAUUGAAUAUUUAUUACAGAAAUUUCAAUUGAUUUUUGAAAAAAAUAUGCGUACUGUACGAAUAUGAGAUUGCGUGUAUAUUUGACUAUCUUUAGAAUUAUGACUUUUUGUGAAAAAAUGAACAUUUGUAGUACAAAGAUAAUUAUUGUAUCUUCCUUACGCUGUCUAGUAAACUAUUUCUACAUAAAUAAAAUGUCUCGUGAACUAAUUUUUUACUUGUAAAAUGCAUAUAAGCAUUCCGCACAGCGGUGUACGAAAAUGAGAUUGUGUCACUGUAUGAAGAACGAAAGCACGUUUGUGAAGAGUGUGGAAGUACCUUCAAGAGUUCAUAUAAAUGAGAUUCACUUGAAACGCAAACCAUAUAUCUGUAAUGAUAGUAUAGAACCAAAAAAAUUGCACAGACUAUUGUCUA